AUUGAACGCUGGCGGCAGGCCUAACACAUGCAAGUCGAGCGGUAGAGAGGUGCUUGCACCUCUUGAGAGCGGCGGACGGGUGAGUAAUGCCUAGGAAUCUGCCUGGUAGUGGGGGAUAACGUCCGGAAACGGACGCUAAUACCGCAUACGUCCUACGGGAGAAAGCAGGGGACCUUCGGGCCUUGCGCUAUCAGAUGAGCCUAGGUCGGAUUAGCUAGUUGGUGAGGUAAUGGCUCACCAAGGCAACGAUCCGUAACUGGUCUGAGAGGAUGAUCAGUCACACUGGAACUGAGACACGGUCCAGACUCCUACGGGAGGCAGCAGUGGGGAAUAUUGGACAAUGGGCGAAAGCCUGAUCCAGCCAUGCCGCGUGUGUGAAGAAGGUCUUCGGAUUGUAAAGCACUUUAAGUUGGGAGGAAGGGUACUUACCUAAUACGUGAGUAUUUCGACGUUACCGACAGAAUAAGCACCGGCUAACUCUGUGCCAGCAGCCGCAGUAACAC
rnacentral:rRNA from 1 species